rnacentral:pre_miRNA from 1 species
UAAUCUCAGCUUGUAACAUGGAGUAGUUUUAGAAUGUUAUCUCUAGUUACCAGUUUGAGGUUAAU